UACAGAGGUCUCAAGCGUUGUUCGGAUUCAUUGGGCGUAAAGGGUGUGUAGGUGGCGCGCUAAGUCGGGUGUGAAAUUUCGGAGCUUAACUCCGAAACUGCAUUCGAUACUGGCGUGCUUGAGGACUGGAGAGGAGACUGGAAUUCAUGGUGUAGCAGUGAAAUGCGUAGAGAUCAUGAGGAAGACCAGUGGCGAAGGCGGGUCUCUGGACAGUUCCUGACACUGAGGAGCGAAAGCGUGGGUAGCAAACAGG
rnacentral:rRNA from 1 species